UACGGAGGGUGCGAGCGUUGUCCGGAAUCACUGGGCGUAAAGGGCGCGUAGGCGGCGCGGGUAGUCAUCGGUGAAAGUUCAGGGCUCAACUCUGAAUCGGCCGGUGAUACUCCCGUGCUCGAGCACUGUAGAGGCAGGUGGAAUUCCGGGUGUAGCGGUGGAAUGCGUAGAGAUCCGGAAGAACACCGGUGGCGAAGGCGGCCUGCUGGGCAGUAGCUGACGCUGAUGCGCGACAGCAUGGGGAGCGAACAGG
rnacentral:rRNA from 1 species